AUUGAACGCUGGCGGCAUGCUUUACACAUGCAAGUCGGACGAGGGGCGAACGGGUGAGUAACGCAACGGAACGAACCGAGUAAUGGGGGCUAACUGUCCGAAAGGACAGCUAAUACGGAAUAUUAUUCGAGAGGCAGAUGUCUGAUGAGCUGGUUGGCGGGGUAAAGGCACACCAAGGCGACGAUCAGUAGCGGGUCUGAGAGGAUGAGGCGCCACACUGGGACUGAGACACGGCCCAGACUCCUACGGGAGGCAGCAGUGGGGAAUUUUGGACAAUGGGCGCAAGCCUGAUCCAGCCAUGCCGCGUGUCUGAAGAAGGCCUUCGGGUUGUAAAGGACUUUUGUCAGGGAAGCGGUACCUGAAGAAUAAGCACCGGCUAACUACGUGCCAGCAGCCGCGGUAAUAC
rnacentral:rRNA from 1 species